rnacentral:rRNA from 1 species
CCUACGGGAGGCAGCAGUGGGGAAUAUUGCACAAUGGGGGAACCCCUGAUGCAGCGACGCCGCGUGAGUGAAGAAGUAUCUCGGUACGUAAAGCUCUAUCAGCAGGGGAGCAAAUGACGGUACCUGACUCAGAAGCCCCGGCUAACUACGUGCCAGCAGCCGCGGUCAUACGUCGGGCGCAAGCGUUAUCCGGAAUUACUGGGUGUAAAGGGAGCUUAGAUGGCAGCACAAGUCUGGAGUGAAAUCCGGGGGCUUAACCCCGGAACUGCCUUGGAAACUGGGCGGCUGGAGUGCGGGAGGGGUAAGCGGAAUGCCUGGUGUAGCGGUGAAAUGCGUAGAUAUUAGGAGGAACACCGGUGGCGAAGGCGGCUUACUGGACUGUAACUGACGAUGAGGCUCGAAAGCGUGGGGAGCAAACAGGAUUAGAUACCCCUGUAGUC